GAUGAACGCUGGCGGCGUGCCUAAUACAUGCAAGUCGAGCGAACAGACGAGGAGCUUACUCCUCUGACGUUAGCGGCGGACGGGUGAGUAACACGUGGAUAACCUACCUAUAAGACUGGGAUAACUUCGGGAAACCGGAGCUAAUACCGGAUAACAUGUUGAACCGCAUGGUUCAACAGUGAAAGACGGUCUUGCUGUCACUUAUAGAUGGAUCCGCGUCGCAUUAGCUAGUUGGUAAGGUAACGGCUUACCAAGGCAACGAUGCGUAGCCGACCUGAGAGGGUGAUCGGCCACACUGGAACUGAGACACGGUCCAGACUCCUACGGGAGGCAGCAGUAGGGAAUCUUCCGCAAUGGGCGAAAGCCUGACGGAGCAACGCCGCGUGAGUGAAGAAGGUCUUCGGAUCGUAAAACUCUGUUAUUAGGGAAGAACAAAUGUGUAAGUAACUAUGCACGUCUUGACGGUACCUAAUCAGAAAGCCACGGCUAACUACGUGCCAGCAGCCGCGGUAAUACGUAGGUGGCAAGCGUUAUCCGGAAUUAUUGGGCGUAAAGCGCGCGUAGGCGGUUUUUUUAAGUCUGAUGUGAAAGCCCACGGCUCAACCGUGGAGGGUCAUUAGAAACUGGAAAACUUGAGUGCAGAAGAGGAAAGUGGAAUUCCAUGUGUAGCGGUGAAAUGCGCAGAGAUAUGGAGGAACACCAGUGGCGAAGGCGACUUUCUGGUCUGUAACUGACGCUGAUGUGCGAAAGCGUGGGGAUCAAACAGG
rnacentral:rRNA from 1 species